AGGGUGUAUGGGGGAUGUCUAGGUGCCGAUAGGCGAUGAAGGACGUGGUAGGCUGCGAUAAGCCUGGGUUAGGUGUCUAACAACCUUACCCCGGGAUUUCCGAAUGGGGCAACCCGUCAGGGCUGGGCAACCAGACCUUGUCAUCCAUGGUUGAAUGCAUAGACCAUGUGAAGCUAACGCAGAGAACUGAAACAUCUAAGUAUCUGCAGGAAAGGAAAUCAACCGAGACUCCGUAAGUAGCGGCGAGCGAAAGCGGAUAUAGCCCAAACCAGAGAGCUUGCUUUCUGGGGUUGUGGGCAUUGAUUAGGAGUUACAAAGGUAGCGUCAGCAGAACGGUCUGGAAAGUCCGACUAUAAAAGGUGAUAGUCCUGUAUGCGAAAGCGUUUACCCUCCGUUAUAUCAGUGUUCCAGAGUAGCGCGGAACCCGUGAAACUCCGUGUGAAGCUGUGGGGUCCACCCUCCAAGGCUAAGUACUAAUCGGCAACCGAUAGUGCAAAGUAGGGCGACCGAACGAUGAAAAGCACCCCUAUAAGGGGAGUUAAAAGUACCUGAAACCAUACACCUACAAGCUGUAGGAGCUCUAUGACAGACUCUUCGGAGUCUGUAACGAGCUGACUGCGUGCCUUUCGCAUAAUGAGCCGGCGAGUUACCGUUUGCGGCAAGGUUAAGCACUUAAGGUGCGAAGCCGUAGCGAAAGCGAGUCUUAAUAGGGCGAAUAAGUCGCAGGUGGUAGACGCGAAGCGGUGAUCUACCCAUGGCCAGGCUGAAGGGAUGUAAAAAUCCCUGGAGGCCGAACCCACUAACGUUGAAAAGUUAGGGGAUGAGCUGUGGGGAGGAGUGAAAGUCUAAUCAAACCCGGAGAUAUCUCGUUCUCUCCGAAAUAGCUUUAGGGCUAGCCUCGAGCAACUACCUUACAGGGGUAGAGCUACUGAUUGGGGAUGGGGGCCACCAGCCUACCCACCCCUACCAAACUCCGAAUACUGUAAGGACUAUCUCGGGAGUCAGACUGCGGGCGAUAACGUUCGUGGUCAAGAGGGAAACAACCCAGACCGCCAGUCUAAGGUCCCGAAUCCAUGCUAAGUUACUAAGGAAGUCGAAUUGCUGUGACAAUCAGGAUGUUGGCUUAGAAGCAGCCACCAUUUAAAAAGUGCGUAAUAGCUUACUGAUCGAGCAGUUCGGUGCCGAUAAUGAACGGGAAUAAGCAUGGAACCGAAGACUGCGGAUGACCCAGAUACUGGACUCAUCCGCCUGUGCGAAAGCAUGAUACGAUGUAUUGUGUUUUGCAUAGUGCAGAUGGUCUGGUAUCUGGGCGUGGUAGGAGAGCGUAGCAGUCAGCACUGAAGCGGUACGGAAACGAGCCGUGGAGCGGCAGCUAGUGAUUAUGCCGGCAUGAGUAACGAUAAAACAGGUGAGAAUCCUGUUCGCCGAAAACCUAAGGUUUCCUGGGGAAGGUAAAUCCGCCCAGGGUUAGUCGGCCCCUUAGUCGAGGCUGAAAGGCGUAGACGAUGGACAGCAGGUUAAUAUUCCUGCACCAUGUUAGUGGACGAAAGCAGUGACGCAUUUACAUGAAGUCAUCCCGUGACUAGUCGUGCGGGUUCCGCAAGAUCGAGGACACUUUUGAUUCCGAAGUGACCCGCGUAGAGUGCCGAGAAAUAGCUGCUCGUAGGUUGAAGCAAGCGUGACCGUACUAAAACUGACACAGGUAGGUGAGGAGAGUAACCUCAGGCGCUCGAGAGAACCGUCCUUAAGGAACUCGGCAAAUUGGCCCCGUAAGUUCGCGAUAAGGGGUCCCUCCAUGUAUUUAAUUUAUUAGGUAUGAUGAGGGCGCAGCGAAGUGGCUCCGGCGACUGUUUACCAAAAACACAGUUCUCUGCUAACACGUACAGUGGAUGUAUAGAGAAUGACGCCUGCUCGGUGCCGGAAGGUUAAGGAAGGCGGUUAUCCUUCGGGAGAAGCUGACGACUGAAGCCCCGGUAAACGGCGGCCGUAACUAUGACGGUCCUAAGGUAGCGAAGUUCCUUGUCGGGUAAGUUCCGACGUGCAUGAACGGCGUAACGACUGGAGCACUGUCUCAAGGACGGACUCGGUGAAAUUGUAGUUGUGGUGAAGAUACCACAUACCCGCGGCAAGACGGAAAGACCCCGUGAACCUUUACUGUAGCCUGGUAUUGAUGCCUGGCAUAUCAUGCGUAGGAUAGGUGGGAGGCUUUGAUCCGGCAAUUUCGGUUGUCGGUUAGCCAUUGUUGAAAUACCACCCCUGCUAUGUUAGUCACCUAACCGCGACCCUUGAAUCAGGGCGUGGGACCGUGCUAGGUGGGCAGUUUGACUGGGGCGGUCUCCUCCUAAAGAGUAACGGAGGAGUUCAAAGGUACCCUCAGCGUGGUUGGCAAUCACGCGUAGAGCGCAAAGGUAUAAGGGUGCUUAACUGCGAGACCGAUAGGUCGAGCAGAUGCGAAAGCAGGACUUAGUGAUCCGGUGGUUCCGAGUGGAAGGGCCAUCGCUCAUCAGAUAAAAGGUACUCCGGGGAUAACAGGCUUAUCGCCUCCGAGCGUUCAUAGCGGCGAGGCGGUUUGGCACCUCGAUGUCGGCUCAUCACAUCCUGGGGCUGUAGGCGGUCCCAAGGGUUCGGCUGUUCGCCGAUUAAAGUGGUACGCGAGCUGGGUUCAGACCGGCGUGAGCCAGGUCGGUCCCUAUCUGCCGUGGGCGUAGGAAUCUUGCGGAAAUGUUUCCCUAGUACGAGAGGAUUGGGAAGCACUGACCUCUGGUGUACCGGUUGUCCUGCUAAGGGCACGGCCGGGUAGCUAAGUCGGAAAGGAGAACCGCUGAAAGCAUCUAAGCGGGAAGCCCAUCUAAGAUGAGGAUUCCAUGGACUUCG
rnacentral:rRNA from 1 species